UGUCUCAGAGUGAACGCUGGCGGUAGGCCUAACACAUGCAAGUCGAACGACAGCACAGGAGAGCUUGUUCUCUGGGUGGCGAGUGGCGGACGGGUGAGGAAUACAUCGGAAUCUACUUUUUCGUGGGGGAUAACGUAGGGAAACUUACGCUAAUACCGCAUACGACCUACGGGUGAAAGCAGGGGAUCUUCGGACCUUGCGCGAUUGAAUGAGCCGAUGUCGGAUUAGCUAGUUGGCGGGGUAAAGGCCCACCAAGGCGACGAUCCGUAGCUGGUCUGAGAGGAUGAUCAGCCACACUGGAACUGAGACACGGUCCAGACUCCUACGGGAGGCAGCAGUGGGGAAUAUUGGACAAUGGGCGCAAGCCUGAUCCAGCCAUACCGCGUGGGUGAAGAAGGCCUUCGGGUUGUAAAGCCCUUUUGUUGGGAAAGAAAUCCAGCUGGCUAAUACCCGGUUGGGAUGACGGUACCCAAAGAAUAAGCACCGGCUAACUUCGUGCCAGCAGCCGCGGUAAUACGAAGGGUGCAAGCGUUACUCGGAAUUACUGGGCGUAAAGCGUGCGUAGGUGGUCGUUUAAGUCCGUUGUGAAAGCCCUGGGCUCAACCUGGGAACUGCAGUGGAUACUGGGCGACUAGAAUGUGGUAGAGGGUAGCGGAAUUCCUGGUGUAGCAGUGAAAUGCGUAGAGAUCAGGAGGAACAUCCAUGGCGAAGGCAGCUACCUGGACCAACAUGACAC
rnacentral:rRNA from 1 species